AUCGAUCAGAAGAUAAAUCCAGUGCAUGAGUGGACCCUGAAGGUGAGGGUUGCUGCUAUUUCCCUUGCCUUUCCAGGGCUGGGCAGGCCAUUUAACUUCAUGAAGCUAUUGUGCAUCAACACUGAAGCUUCAACAAACCCACUGCACAUGGGAGAGAUGAACACUCAGUGAAACUGCUGAGGUAAGUCAAAUUGGUUGGAAUUAAG